rnacentral:lncRNA from 1 species
UAGAAGUUAUGGUUGCUUUAGCGAUCACUGCUUAUAAUUAAAAUGCUGGCUGAAUGAACACCGUUAUACUGGCUGUGGUUCAGCUCAGCCUUCAUCUUGGCUCUUUUGUGAACUCAAACGAAGCUUUUAAGAUGGGGAACCUGGAACAAACAACGCUUGACUUUGAGAAUAACAGCCAGUGCUGAGAGCUGAUUCAGCUGUUUGCGUUGAUCAAGCCCAAGGUGAUUUUGAAAAAGUAGCUUCAAAAGAAGACCUGCAGUAGGCACCGGAGAUGCUCGCAUACAUACUAAUAUGCCUGCAGUCUGUGUGAGAACGGAGGAUCAAGGAAGUAGGACCUGGCAACCACCAAAGAUUGGCAGCAUGGAACAGAUGGUCCGGAGGAGAGGAACGAUGUGGACAUGCAAGGAAGAAGUGCAGCCCUUAACACAGAUAAGAGACGAGGCUUCUGAUGAGACCACUGCUGUAUAAUCAGCAAUGGAGCAAUCCACCUUCAGCCCACACUCAAAGACAAUAUACACUUAAAGCUCCCAGAAUGGCUUUUACAGCCAGAUGAGAAACUUUUUUUAACAUCAUUUACUGACCCUUGUUAUUGCAAUCCAUGUGGCUGUCUUUUUUCUGAACAACACAAAAGGAGAAAUUUUGACAAAUGCAAUAGCCACUCUUUUCCAUGGGCUUUCACAGGGUUUGUACCGGAGCUCUUCAUCACUGAAAUACAAUGCUGUAUCGCGUGAGUUACUGAGCAAACCUACUGAAUAUGAAAACCCAUACAUAUGAAGCUGAAUAUGUGACACUAACCUUCAAAAGUAUCAGUUUUCAAAUCUCGCAGCAUGUUAAAAUUGUUUUGAAUUCAUAACAUAAUAUUAAGUAAUUACAUAAGUAAUUGUGCAAAAAUUAGGCUUUUCUAAUUCAAGACUGUGGACCUGCAAAUCAUACUUUGUGUGAAAAGGAAUAAAAGGUGUUGGAAUUUUACUGCCUCUAGUGUUCAUUUCAACUGGAAACUGCAGCAAUUUGUAUGUAUAGUAUGUUUGUUUUUUUUUGUUUUUUUAGUUUUGCAGAAAUGUAUGCAUAUAUUUCGAAUGAGCCUAUGUUGAAUUUCAAAUAAUGUAAUAGCCACUCUUCCAUGCAGUUACAACGGGGACUAGAAUUGUCAAGUUUGGAGAAGCAUAAUAAAAGUGGUCCAUACAAUUUAUAAAGUAAUAUAUAUCAUCUCUUCUGUAUUUCUAUGAUAGUUUGGCUUUUACAGCCAAAGGAGAACCUUUUUUUAAGUUUUCUAUCAUCAUUUAUUCAUCCAUGUUGUUGCACACCAUAUAAACGUCCUUCUUCUGAACAACUCAAAAGGAGGAAUUCUGAAUAAUGUACUAGCCGCUCUUUUCCAUGCAAUUACAAUGAAAGAGGAUUAGAGCUUUCAAGCUUGAAAAAACUGCAAAAGCACCAUAAAAGCGUCAUACAAUUGGUGCUUACAGUAUAAAGCAUUAUUUUCCAUGUCUACUGUAUUUUUACAAUAAUUUGGCUCUUACAGCCAAAGGAGAACCUUUUUCAUUUUUUUCUAACAUCAUUUACUCACUCUUGUUGUUGUACUAGGGGGAAGUUGUACUAAGGUGAUGGUUAGAGUGUUGGACUUGCAAUCCAAGGGUUGUGAGUUCGAGUCUCGGGCCGGCAGG